rnacentral:rRNA from 1 species
GACGAACGCUGGCGGCGUGCCUAAUACAUGCAAGUAGGACGCAGUUGCGAACGGGUGAGUAACGCGUAGGUAACUACCUAUUAGAGGGGGCUAACUAUUGGAAACGAUAGCUAAUACCGCCUACUAGUAGAUGGACCUGCGUUGUAUUAGCUAGUAGGUAGGGUAAUGGCCUACCUAGGCAACGAUACAUAGCCGACCUGGGAGGGGGAUCGGCCACACCGGGACUGAGAAACGGGCCAGACUCCUACGGGAGGCAGCAGUAGGGAAUCUUCGGCAAUGGGGGGAACGCUGACCAAGCAAAGCCGCGUGAGGGAAGAAGGUUUUCGGAUCGUAAAGCUCUGUUGUUAAGGAAGCGGUACUUAACCAGAAAGGGACGGCUAACUACGUGCCAGCAGCCGCGGUAAUUC